rnacentral:lncRNA from 1 species
CGAAAGACUGGUAUACUGCAAAUGCCAUCGGCCACAACACCUUACAAGUUACCGUCAAAAGACUGUGCAAGACGUCCGGUAUUGAGGGCAUGAAGACAAACCAUUCCUUGAGAGCCACGGCAGCCACUCGAUUGUAUCAAGGUGACGUUGAUGAACAAAUGAUUUGCGAAAUUACCGGACAUCGGAGCGACGCCGUUCGAAAUUACAAGAGAACUUCUGACAACCAAAAGGCAACGGUCUCUGACAUACUUAGUAUGUCCAAAAAAAUGAACUCGCCAUCACGUGAAGAAGCUGAUCCGAAAAGAGCUGAUGACCAAAGACCUGAAGACAAACUAAAUCGAACUGUGACGCUCAAUUUCAAUUUCAUCUAAUAUCAAUAAAUAGUUGAGCCAUGUUCUGUUGUUGUUUUUUCAUGCAGAAAGGUAAUUCAAUACAGAGGGUAUUC